CGCGCAGGCGGGAUAACAAGUCAGAGGUGAAAUCCUACAGCUUAACUGUAGAACUGCCUUUGAUACUGUUAUUCUUGAGUUCGGAAGAGAGAGACGGAAUUCCAGGUGUAGUGGUGAAAUACGUAGAUAUCUGGAAGAACACCAGUUGCGAAGGCGGUCUCUUGGUCCGAUACUGACGCUGAGGCGCGAAAGCGUGGGAGCAAACA
rnacentral:rRNA from 1 species